rnacentral:rRNA from 1 species
UGGGCGUAAAGAGCUCGUAGGUGGUUCGAUACGUCGGAUGUGAAAAUCAGGGGCUCAACCCCUGACCUGCAUCCGAUACGGUCGAGCUAGAGUUUGGUAGGGGAGACUGGAAUUCCUGGUGUAGCGGUGGAAUGCGCAGAUAUCAGGAGGAACACCGAUGGCGAAGGCAGGUCUCUGGGCCAAUACUGACACUGAGGAGCGAAAGCGUGGGGAGCGAACAGGAUUAGAUACCCUGGAUAGUCCACGCCAGUAAACGGUGGGCGCUAGUUGUGCGAACCUUCCACGGUUUGUGCGACGCAGCUAACGCAUAAAGCGCCCCGCCUGGGGAGUACGAUCGCAAGAUUUAAACUCAAAGGAAUUGACGGGGCCCCGCACAAGCAUCGGAGCACGCGGCUUAGUUCGACGCAACGCGAAGAACCUUACCAAGGCUGGACAUAUACAGGAAUAUGGCAGAGAGGUCAGAGCCGCAAGGUCUGUAUACAGGUGGUGCAUGGUUGUCGUCAGCUCGUGUCGUGAGAUGUUGGGUUAAGUCCCGCAACGAGCGCAACCCUCGUUCUGUGUUGCCAGCAUUAAGUUGGGGACUCACAGGAGACUGCCGGGGUUAGCUCGGAGGAAGGUGGGGAUGACGUCAAAUCAUCAUGCCCCUUAUGUCUUGGGCUGCACGCAUGCUACAAUGGCUGGUACAAACGGCUGCGAUACCGCAAGGUGGAGCGAAUCCGAUAAAGCCAGUCUCAGUUCGGAUUGGGGUCUGCAACUCGACCCCAUGAAGUCGGAGUUGCUAGUA